UCGUGCCACCAGCCGCGGUAAUACGGAGGGUGCGAGCGUUAAUCGGAAUGACUGGGCGUAAAGGGCAUGUAGGCGGAUAAUUAAGUUAGGUGUGAAAGCCCUGGGCUCAACCUAGGAAUUGCACUUAAAACUGGUUAACUAGAGUAUUGUAGAGGAAGGUAGAAUUCCACGUGUAGCGGUGAAAUGCGUAGAGAUGUGGAGGAAUACCGGUGGCGAAGGCGGCCUUCUGGACAGAUACUGACGCUGAGAUGCGAAAGCGUGGGGAGCAAACAGGAUUAGAUACCCUGGUAGUCCACGCUGUAAACGAUGUCGAUUUGGAGUUUGUUGCCUAGAGUGAUGGGCUCCGAAGCUAACGCGAUAAAUCGACCGCCUGGGGAGUACGGCCGCAAGGUUAAAACUCAAAUGAAUUGACGGGGGCCCGCACAAGCGGUGGAGCAUGUGGUUUAAUUCGAUGCAACGCGAAGAACCUUACCUGGUCUUGACAUCCACAGAAUCUUGCAGAGAUGUGAGAGUGCCUUCGGGAACUGUGAGACAGGUGCUGCAUGGCUGUCGUCAGCUCGUGUUGUGAAAUGUUGGGUUAAGUCCCGCAACGAGCGCAACCCUUAUCCUUUGUUGCCAUCGGUUCGGCCGGGAACUCAAAGGAGACUGCCGUUGAUAAAGCGGAGGAAGGUGGGGACGACGUCAAGUCAUCAUGGCCCUUACGACCAGGGCUACACACGUGCUACAAUGGCGUAUACAAAGGGAGGCGACCUCGCGAGAGCAAGCGGACCUCAUAAAGUACGUCUAAGUCCGGAUUGGAGUCUGCAACUCGACUCCAUGAAGUCGGAAUCGCUAGUAAUCGUGAAUCAGAAUGUCACGGUGAAUACGUUCCCGGGCCUUGUACACACCGCCCGUCACACCAUGGGAGUGGGUUGCACCAGAAGUAGAUAGCUUAACCGCGAGGGGGGCGUUUACCACGGUGUGGUCCAUGACUGGGGUGAAGUCGUAACAAGGGCGAAUU
rnacentral:rRNA from 1 species